GAUGAAGAACGUAGCGAAAUGCGAUACGUAAUGUGAAUUGCAAAUUCAGUGAAUCAUCGAGUCUUUGAACGCACAUUGCGCCCCCUGGUAUUCCGGGGGGCAUGCCUGUCCGAGCGUCAUUGCUGCCCUCAAGCACGGCUUGUGUGUUGGGCCCCGUCCUCCGAUCCCGGGGGACGGGCCCGAAAGGCAGCGGCGGCACCGCGUCCGGUCCUCGAGCGUAUGGGGCUUUGUCACCCGCUCUGUAGGCCCGGCCGGCGCUUGCCGAUCAACCCAAAUUUUUAUCCAGGUUGACCUCGGAUCAGGUAGAGAUACCCGCUGAACUUAAGCAUAUCAAUAAGCGGAGGA
rnacentral:misc_RNA from 1 species